GUAGGUGGCGAGCGUUAUCCGGAAUGAUUGGGCGUAAGGGGUGCGUAGGUGGCAGAUCAAGUCUGGAGUAAAAGGUAUGGGCUCAACCCGUACUGGCUCUGGAAACUGAUCAGCUAGAGAACAGAAGAGGACGGCGGAACUCCAUGUGUAGCGGUAAAAUGCGUAGAUAUAUGGAAGAACACCGGUGGCGAAGGCGGCUUACUGGACUGUAACUGACGUUGAGGCUCGAAAGCGUGGGGCGCAAACAGGAUUAGAUACCCUGGUAGUCCACGCCGUAAACGAUGAUUACUAGGUGUUGGUGGGUACGACCCAUCGGUGCCGCAGCAAACGCAAUAAGUAAUCCACCUGGGGAGU
rnacentral:rRNA from 1 species